rnacentral:tmRNA from 1 species
ACUUAUUGGACCCGGGGGCGGUACCCGGCGCCUCCACCAAAGUAUAGAGAGAGAAAUAUAUUUUGAUGGGGGCGAAAUAGGAUCGACAAAAGUGUAAAGAUUGCUCUUUUACUCGGCAUAGUACCACCGUUAUCGGACUAAAUAAGUAGUUGCAAAUGACAACUAUGCGGAAGAACUUCGUGCUGCCGCUUAAGGUAGGUGAAUUCUUCAAAUUGAGUCUUAAACCGUCGCAGGUUUAAGCGGGGUUCGGA